CGUGGCUCUGAGAGACCGCCGUGAGGUGUGUUGGAGAUGUUCACGGAGCAGAUCUUGGAAGUAGUAGCAUCAUUUGUAUGUGCCAAUGGAGGCGGGUUUGUCCUUUUAAUAGAAGGAAGUGAUACGAGCCUAGUAAAAGGGAAUAUAGUAGAUAUUCUAUAUAGAUGUACCUAUGUGGCGACACGACAGCGACCCCAACGACGUGUGCCGGUGAGAAUUUUCCGGGACACCCAGAUCUUAUGAGCGUCACGCUGAGACUAAGAACGAGUUGGGCGGUGAAAAUGAAGGAACAUCCUCGUACCGAACCGCAACAGGACUCCUAGGUGAGAAGCCUAAGGCAUAAUUGUAAUGUGAGCAAGGGAAAUCGGCAAAAUGGAUGAAAAACCUCGGGAUAAUCAUUGGCUCUAGCAUGCUAGAACUGGGCUUACAAGGGGAAUCUGACUGUUUAAUAAAAACAUAGCUUUGUGUGUACGCAAAGUGAAUUCUGCCCAGUGCUUGGGACGUUAAGGAAGUAAUUUUAAGUACGCACCUGUAAACGGCGGGAGUAACUAUGACUCUCUUAAGGUAGCCAAAUGCCUCGUCGCCUAAUUAGCGACGCGCAUGAAUGGAGCAACGAGAUUCCCACUGUCCCUGCUCACAGAUUUGCGAACCUACAGCCAAGGGAACGGGCUUGGGACAUGCAGCGGGGAAAGAAGACCCUGUUGAGCUUGACUCUAGCCAAGCACAGGCCUCUGUGACUAUAUCGUAGCGAGGUGGGAGAAAUGUGUGAGACCACUGACAUAGUCGGCGGGGGCACUCGCAAAGCUUGGUGGGGAGUUUGGCUGGGGCGGCACGACUACUAAAACAUAACGUAGACGUCCAAAGGUAAGCUCCGAGGGGAUGGAAACCACUCCGAGAGUAUAAGGGCAAAAGCUUGCUUUAGUUAUUAAUGUAAAUUAAUAAUACUGGAAACAGGGGCCUAGAGAUCCUCUAUGAAACUAAGCAUAGAGGUGACGGAAAAGUUACCACAGGGAUAACUGGCUUGUGGCGGCCGAGCGUCCAUAGCGACGCCGCUUUUUGAUUCUUCGAUGUCGGCUCUUCCGAGCAUGGUGGAGUAUCAGCCACCAAGUGUGUGAUUGUUCACCAACUAACAGGGAACGUGAGCUGGGUUUAAACCGUCGCGAGACAGGUUAAUUUUACCCUACUGCAUCCCGUCCAAAAGUAGUUCGGGGCAUUACAAAAGGAAUUGCCCAAUCAAACCCUGGGGGAAAUUUUCCCUCGUUAAGGGCCAAAAGUGAACUCCUUUCUUUUAUUAAAACUUAAAGCCUCUUACCUGAAUGAGAUCUUUAGGGCCCCAAAAUUUGAAACUCCUUUGUUAGGAUGAGGGUUUUCAAAAUAACACUUUGCCAAAUUUUAAAAAUCUUUUCUCUUUUUUAAAGGUGUUGCCGAAAAAAAAAGAAAUUGGGGAAAGGAAAUAUUUUUUUU
rnacentral:ncRNA from 1 species